GGUAGAGAUGGAGAGGGGAAUAUACGAGGAGUUGGUAAUCGAGUGCAUAGAAAGAGGAAACUCGGCACUCGCGCUCUCUUAACGGUAACGCAAUUUUUGAAUCCGAGACUAAGACGCGUACUGACCCUAUAGUACACUCCGGACUUUCGACACGCGUCAACUUGUGAAGACAAAAAAACAGGCAGUGGACAGACAUGGCGAAGGUUCCAACCACUAGUGCACUUUCGUUACGCUUGAGGGGAAAUGAGCGCGCGAGACUCGAAGGUGAAUAGCGUCGUCUUGGUCACGGUCAAGGUUCGCGGCGAAUGUACAUUAUCGUUAUGUGCCGAUGAACUCACUUGCGCGGAACCGAUAAAAUUGCUGAGGUUAUUAUAUUUCAUAGGUAUUUUUAUGGGAUUUUGUUUGAAUUACAAAUGGCUUAUUUUCAGAACAACAGAAUUUUCCAUUGAUUGAUAGCUUUGUGCAGUAAUUGCAAUUUUCUUCAAACGCCAUAAGAAGGAUCUACUGAUUAAGAACCAUGAUUUAUAGCAAUUUUUCAAAUAAUUAAAUUAAACGAAAUCACGGCUUAUUCUUUAAAUAUCUAAUCAGAUGUUGAAAAAUUUUGAACAGAUUGUUUUUGUAAAAGCACUUCUUUACCUUCUUUGCUCAUUCGUCUCGAAUUCUUUGGAUCGACGACUGUUAGGUAAUAAGUUUAUCCAUUAGAUUUAACUGAUUAAUUAUAAAUUUGUUUCGUUAAUGUGUAAUACACAUACAUAUAUGUCGUAAAGAUCCGGCGUCAUGAUCUAUUUACAUGAUAAACCAUUUUUCGAUCUAUUUCCUCCUGUAGAUAGGACAUUAUAUACUGGCUUAUUGAAAUACAGAUGAAUAUCAAAUUA